CCGUUCUCCAGGCGCGGGCUGAGCACCCGCAUGAAGGGCGGCGAGAAGGGGAAGUUGUCGGGGAAGAGCGGUCUGAGGGGCAGCACAGGACGCACCCAGAUGAUUGAUUCCUUCCGAUCGGAUGGACGUGACCCUGAUGGAUGAUUGGUUCCUUCGAAUCCGAUGGACGUGACCCUGAUUGAUGCCUGCGAAUCAAAUGGAUGUGACCCUGAUGAUUGGUUCCUUCUUAUCAGAUGGACGAGACCCCGAAGGGAGAUUGAUUCCUUUGAAUCGGAUGGAUGUGACCCUGAUUGAUGAUUGGCUCCUUGGGGUCAGAUGAUGUGUUUACCGUGAAAGGACGCGUCAGCCUCCUGUGACAGGCGGCCUCUCCUGACUGCCUGGGUUGAGAUUAGGACAAGUCUAGGAAGACAGCUCACAUCGCUUGUGGCAGAUGGGCAGGAGGCGGCUACCUUGCCGGGUCUCCAGGAAGGACUAAGAGACA